rnacentral:rRNA from 1 species
AACGAACGCUGGCGGCAUGCCUAACACAUGCAAGUCGAACGAGACCUUCGGGGCUAGUGGCGCACGGGUGCGUAACGCGUGGGAACCUGCCCUUAGGUUCGGAAUAACUCCCCGAAAGGGGUGCUAAUACCGGAUAAUGUCUUCGGACCAAAGAUUUAUCGCCUUUGGAUGGGCCCGCGUUGGAUUAGCUAGUUGGUAGGGUAAAAGCCUACCAAGGCGACGAUCCAUCGCUGGUCUGAGAGGAUGAUCAGCCACACUGGGACUGAGACACGGCCCAGACUCGUACGGGAGGCAGCAGUGGGGAAUAGUAGAGUUUGGGCGAAGGCCUGAUCCAGCCACGCCGCGUGAGGGAUGAAGGCGUUAGGGCUGUAACGCCCUCUUACCCGCGAUGAUAAUGACAGUACCGGGCGAAGAAGCUCCGGCUAACCACGUG